UUUUUUUCAGUAGAUUUAGAUCGCUAAAGCCCUAUUCAUCUUGAAAACCAACCCCUGCAAGAUGAGUAGGGCUUUAGCUAUCUAAAUCCACUGAAAAAAG